UUCCGGAGCGCAUCACAUGAUUUGAGUCUUGUGACAAUCCAGACAGAAAGGGAAAACGAGUUCCGAGUUUACAACUGUUUUUUUGUGUGCUCUAGAGUGAUUGGAGAGGUUCUUUUGACAAAAAAAUGACAUAAUGAGGUGAUAAGAUGGCGAUAUUUUAGACAUUUCCCUCUUUUUUAAAUAAGCAUCCUCCCUUUAGACUGAACAGUCCGCGAGUGUUUCGGGUGGUGCAGUCAGGGACAAAGUUGGCACAUGGAGAGAGGCGAUAACUUAAAUUUUUGCGCGUCGUGUUUUCUUAGUUUUUUUUUACCCAUCCGUGCCUGCAAAAGUCGUAUGACUCGAGGCAACACCGACUAAGUAAAUCCAAUUUGUGUGGGAAGAAGAGGGCCAGCCAAGGCAAAGAAAGAGAAAGAUAACUUGAGGACGCAACAGAUAUGGACAGCAAACCUCUUCUCCAAGACCGUCCUCCCGCUUAUGCUAACGUCGUCCCGGGGGCGUAUGAAUAUGGCCAGCAGCACAAUUAUGGAGCUAUCCCCGCCCCAACCCCUGCACCCCCGGGCUUUCAACAGCCGCCGCCAUAUCAGUACCCCACUGGCCCAGGGUUCCAAGAAGGCCCCAGUGCACAGAUGGGCCCAGCCAUAGCCCAGCAGCCCUACCCUGGCACAUACACCAUCAUCCAGCCCUCCGUGGUGGUGGUGGGGGGCUGCCCAGCCUGCAGAGUGGGCGUGCUGGAGGAUGACUUCACCUGUCUGGGGAUCAUGUGUGCCGUCUUCUUCUUCCCCCUGGGGAUCCUCUUCUGCCUGGCACUGCGCCAGAGGAGAUGCCCCAACUGUGGCGCCACCUUCGGGUAGAAGGACCAACCUGCAGCUCGUCCUCUCAGCCCAGCUGGAUCUUAUAACUUUGUUGUUUAUUAUUAUUACACACUGAGAAUGCCAGGUCUUUUCUAUACAACGAUUUAGUCGCCACAAUGAACUUCUAGCCAGCCAUUAAUUCUCAUAUGAUAGAGGUGCAUGUGAAAACCUACAUUUGUACAUGGUAGAAUAUACUUUGGUAGUAUUAUCUAGUGAAGAAGCCUGAUCUUUGUCCAUCUACAGCUGGUGCCUUUAUUACACUAUAGAGCAGAAAACAGACAGGGGCCAUAUUCCACAAAGCGUAUCAGAAAAUAUCCUGGAUCCUGUUUUAAGACAAAAAAAAGCUCCCAGCUCAGAGUAGGUUUUAUGAGGAUAAGUUACUGCUCAGACACUCUGAGCCAGGAGAAAAAUCAACUCAAAAGUUUCUCUGUUGGUAAUCACCACAGUCUGAGGUACCGCAAAAGAAGGAUAGUGAUGAUGCUCAUUGACAUUGUUGCAAAUGAUGAGGAAUAACCAAUCAGGACGAGGCACUGACAGCUGUACAGCUUCAGACAACUACGGGGAAUGUUGCAGGGGUAAAACGUGUGAUAUCAUCUGCCUGACACCAUCACUUUGUCUACUUUUAAUUUACCCUAAUAUGUUGGUUUGCAUAUGUUUAGAAUAAUGUGAUGGGAAUAUUGCACUGAAUCAGUUUGACAGUUAAAAUAUGAACGUUAUGUCAGCACUCUUCUGUUCAACAAAUCUAAGGCAUCAAGUCACUUGCCGAUAAUGUUGCAUAACCAUUUCAAAAAGGUCUAGUUUUACCCAACACAGAGUUAAUAUAGACUGUAGAUGUCCAACCCAUAGACACUGCUAGUUUUACCCAACACAGAGUUAAUAGACUGUAGAUGUCCAACCCAUAGACACGGCUAGUUUUACCCAACACAGAGUUAAUAGACUGUAGAUGUCCAACCCAUAGACACGGCUAGUUUUACCCAACACAGAGUUAAUAUAGACUGUAGAUGCCCAACCCAUAGACACGGCUAGUUUUACCCAACACAGAGUUAAUAUAGACUGUAGAUACCCAACCCAUAGACACGGCUAGUUUUACCCAACACAGAGUUAAUAUAGACUGUAGAUGUCCAACCCAUAGACACGGCUAGUUUUACCCAACACAGAGUUAGACUGUAGAUGCCCAACCCAUAGACACGGCUAGUUUUACCCAACACAGAGUUAAUAGACUGUAGAUGUCCAACCCAUAGACACGGCUAGUUUUACCCAACACAGAGUUAAUAUAGACUAGAUACCCAACCCAUAGACACGGCUAGUUUUACCCAACACAGAGUUAAUAGACUGUAGAUGUCCAACCCAUAGACACGGCUAGUUUUACCCAACACAGAGUUAAUAUAGACUGUAGAUGUCCAACCCAUAGACACGGCUAGUUUUACCCAACACAGAGUUAAUAUAGACUGUAGAUGUCCAACCCAUAGACACGGCUAGUUUUACCCAACACAGAGUUAAUAUAGACUGUAGAUACCCAACCCAUAGACACGGCUAGUUUUACCCAACACAGAGUUAAUAUAGACUGUAGAUGCCCAACCCAUAGACACGGCUAGUUUUACCCAACACAGAGUUAAUAUAGACUGUAGAUACCCAACCCAUAGACACGGCUAGUUUUACCCAACACAGAGUUAAUAUAGACUGUAGAUGCCCAACCCAUAGACACGGCUAGUUUUAACCAACAGAGUUAAUAUAGACUGUAGAUGUCCAACCCAUAGACACGGCUAGUUUUACCCAACACAAAGUUAAUAUAGACUGUAGAUGCCCAACCCAUAGACACGGCUAGUUUUACCCAACACAGAGUUAAUAUAGACUGUAGAUGUUUUACCCAACACAGCGUUAAUAUAGACUGUAGAUGCCCAACCCAUAGACACGGCUAGUUUUACCCAACACAGUUAAUAUAGACUGUAGAUGUCCAUCCCAUGGACAUCGCUAGUUUUACCCAACACAGAGUUAAUAUAGACUGUAGAUGCCCAACCCAUAGACACGGCUAGUUUUACCCAACACAGAGUUAAUAUAGACUGUAGAUGUCCAACCCAUAGACACGGCUAGUUUUACCCAACACAAAGUUAAUAUAGACUGUAGAUGCCCAACCCAUAGACACGGCUAGUUUUACCCAACACAAAGUUAAUAUAGACUGUAGAUGCCCAAACCAUAGACACGGCUAGUUUUACCCAACACAAAGUUAAUAUAGACUGUAGAUGCCCAACCCAUAGACACGGCUAGUUUUACCCAACACAAAGUUAAUAUAGACUGUAGAUGUCCAACCCAUAGACACGGCUAGUUUUACCCAACACAAAGUUAAUAUAGACUGUAGAUGCCCAACCCAUAGACACGGCUAGUUUUACCCAACACAAAGUUAAUAUAGACUGUAGAUGCCCAAACCAUAGACACGGCUAGUUUUACCCAACACAAAGUUAAUAUAGACUGUAGAUGCCCAACCCAUAGACACGGCUAGUUUUACCCAACACAGAGUUAAUAUAGACUGUAGAUGUCCAACCCAUAGACACGGCUAGUUUUACCCAACACAGAGUUAAUAUAGACUGUAGAUGUCCAACCCAUAGACACGGCUAGUUUUACCCAACACAAAGUUAAUAUAGACUGUAGAUGUCCAACCCAUAGACACGGCUAGUUUUACCCAACACAGAGUUAAUAUAGACUGUAGAUGUCCAACCCAUAGACACGGCUAGUUUUACCCAACACAGAGUUAAUAUAGACUGUAGAUGCCCAACCCAUAGACACGGCUAGUUUUACCCAACACAAAGUUAAUAUAGACUGUAGAUGUCCAACCCAUAGACACGGCUAGUUUUAACAUGAUAUUGCGCUCCAAAGGGAUAACUUUAAAUGACAUGUAGGUUCAUGAAAUAAUUGAAAGAGAACUGUGUGAUUGUUUAUUAGCCUAGUGGUUGUGAGUAUUUAGGCUGUCGUGUGAAUGAAGCCUUGUGAAAUCAUUGUCAAAAGUACAAGGUGUACAUUAUUAUGGGUUGAUUGUUUGAUAUUUCUAUAUGUUCUUUCACCUCCAAAGCAGCAGCCUGUCUAUGGCACAGGAAGCCCUGCCUUUUUCUAUUACCAAGACACCUGUUGGUAACUCUGGCUGGUUAGGACAGCUCAUGAGGUCUCCUAAAUAUCUCUUGACUAGGUGGGGGACUGUUAUGACUAAAGAAGCUUCCUGCAUAGCUUUUAUUUUUACCCAUAAGAGUAGGAGUAAAAUGUCUCCUAGCACCUACGACCAAAUGUUUUACUCUGAGAUGCUUUGUGGAUACGGCCCCGAGGCGCAUAUUCAACAAGUGCAUCCGAGUAGGAGAUCUAGGAUCAGGUCCUCCCUGUCCAUAUAAACCUUGUGCAUUAUGAUUUAAAAGCCAAACUGAUCCUAGAGGCUCUUUGUGAUAUAGGCCCAGAAAGGGAUUGUGAUCAUUAUGUGGCUGAAGACGUGGAUCAAUAACAAAUCAUUUACUUGAUAGAAUUCCUUUGUUUUGUCAUGUUCAAUCAAACGGAGGCACAAGUAGAUUUUGUGCUCGAUGUUAAAUUCCAAUUGCGCCACACCUGGGAAUUGUUCAGUUCUGCCACUUCUGAAGCGCCUUCUGUUUCAUGUAGUCACAUUUUAGGAUUAAUUAUGUAUUUUUUAAAGGAGACUCAUUACUUUGGGAAAUGGUUCGUCACUAUACAGGUAUAUGACUAUAAGGAAAUGACCCAUUGAGCGAGAGCCUCUUUAAGCAACCCUUUUGAACCUCUGUUUUGAAGCCUUUGAGAAUGCUGCCCCCACUCAGUCUGGGCCAGUGUCGCAGAGAAUAUCUUUUCCCAGCUCGACUCUGGCUGGGGGAGGGUUUUAAACGUAACACUGAGACAUCAGCUGUCCCGAACUCAGACAUGUAAAAUUUGUCAUUGAGCUGUUGUCUGUUCUGGUUUCUUUUUAUUCUGGGGCCAUGUCAUAUUUUCACAGGUAUGAUUCUGAUUGAUGGCUUUUAUAUAGGUCUGCAGACCUCAGCGUUUCUUAUUGGACAAGACCAGGUAGUCCCUCCCUGUUUCAGUCCAUUUUCUACCGUUUGCUACCUAAUGAAUAGGGGUCUCUGUUCCAGUAUCCUUUAAUGUCACUAUAGCAUACCACUUAGAAUGUAUGUCCAAUAAUGUAUGUCCAAUAAACAUGUACGUUCUAAGUAGUGUGUAAAUCUGGACAUAGGUUGAAGUGUCCUACACCCAGGUCCUACACAGGAGUACACCCAGGUCCUACACAGGAGUUCACCCAGGCCCUACACAGGAGUUCACCCAGGCCCUACACAGGAGUUCACCCAGGCCCUACACAGGCUCUGCAGGAGUUCACCCAGGCCCUACACAGGAGUUCACCCAGGCCCUACACAGGAGUUCACCCAGGCCCUACACAGGCUCUGCAGGAGUUCACCCAGGUCAAGUCGGGCACCACGUCUUUGACCUACAACCAAGCAGACUCAGCCAAGGGAGGGAGGAAAAGCAUGCAGACAGUUUUUUGCAUAAUACAAGCAGGUUGACGUGUGUAAUCUCUGGAUAAUCUGUAGCCAUUUUAGUAUUCUUCUCAGUGACAACUCAGCCUCCUGCAAUCCUCCCAACAAUAGACAAUCAACCGAGAAUGUCUCUAUGUACCCAUAUGUCUCUCUACCACCAGUAGUUUAUUGUCCAUGUAAUAAAAUGGGGUCAUAUAUUGGGGGUGUAUUUGACAUGGAUCUGCUUUGAAACACUACGCACGCCAUCAUGAUUGAGGUCCUUAUUUUUUCUAAAAGAGUUAUUGUAAAUAAAGAACCAUGAGUGCG